rnacentral:rRNA from 1 species
CCUACGGGAGGCAGCAGUGAGGAAUAUUGGUCAAUGGUCGCAAGACUGAACCAGCCAUGCCGCGUGCAGGGAGACGGUCCUAUGGAUUGUAAACUGCUUUUAUACAGGAAGAAACCCUCCCACGUGUGGGAGCUUGACGGUACU